rnacentral:misc_RNA from 1 species
UCAAACUUGGUCAUUUAGAGGAAGUAAAAGUCGUAACAAGGUUUCCGUAGGUGAACCUGCGGAAGGAUCAUUACAUGGUGAUGAUGGGCGCUUCGUCCUCAUCAGGUUAUGCCCUCGGGUAUAGCUUCUCACCCUUGCUUAUGCGUACCUUUUGUUGUUUCCUCGGCGGGCUUGCCCGCCGCUAGGAACCCCAUAAACCCUUUUGCAAUAGCCUAUAUUCUUCUGAUAAUAAUCUAAAUUAUUACAACUUUCAACAAUGGAUCUCUUGGUUCUGGCAUCGAUGAAGAACGCAGC